ACGCUCGACACCUACGGGAGCAGCAGUGGGGAAUAUUGCACAAUGGGGGAAACCCUGAUGCAGCAACGCCGCGUGAAGGAAGACGGUUUUCGGAUUGUAAACUUCUGUUCUUAGUGAAGAUAGUGACGGUAGCUAAGGAGCAAGCCACGGCUAACUACGUGCCAGCAGCCGCGGUAAUCUGAGGCGGGCUGGACAAGGC
rnacentral:rRNA from 1 species